GCUAACAAGGUUGGUCGAUUUUUUCAAGCCGUCGCGCAGUGUACCUAGAAGUACACGAGCAACGGAAGUUAAAAAAUCGGGCAAGAUUGAACGCAAAGGAAAGCGGGACAUUUGAGGAUGGGGUGACUGCGUACCUUUUGUAUAAUGGGUCAGCGACUUAUAUUCUGUAGCAAGGUUAACCGUAUAGGGGAGCCGUAGGGAAACCGAGUCUUAACU
rnacentral:rRNA from 1 species